UCCUGUAUGAACACUUACUUGAAAAACUCGGGAAAUGCAGUGUUCUUUUCUUCCCGAUUAUUUCAAAAGAAGAGUUCCACUUCACACUUCUCACAUUUCACAAAAAUGAACGAAAGUGGAGACACUACAAUCCACUUAGAUCGUUGGGACGUAGAAAAGAAGAAAGGUGCAUUGACAUUGCUCGAAACUUUGUUAAUAUUGUUGAAGGGUGGCUAGAAUAUAUAAGACCUCAAGCACGAGUGUUCAUAGAAAC